UACGUAGGGUCCAAGCGUUAAUCGGAAUUACUGGGCGUAAAGCGUGCGCAGGCGGUUGUGUAAGACAGAUGUGAAAUCCCCGGGCUUAACCUGGGAACUGCAUUUGUGACUGCACGGCUAGAGUGUGUCAGAGGGGGGUAGAAUUCCACGUGUAGCAGUGAAAUGCGUAGAUAUGUGGAGGAAUACCAAUGGCGAAGGCAGCCCCCUGGGAUAACACUGACGCUCAUGCACGAAAGCGUGGGGAGCAAACAGG
rnacentral:rRNA from 1 species